rnacentral:snRNA from 12 species
AGCUUUGUGGAGUGGCAGUAUCAUAGCCAAGGAGGUUUAUCCGAGGCACGAUCAUUGCUAAUUAAACAUCUUACUUUCCUAAAGUGAUAUAAGCCUCAUACGAUCUGGAGAGGUUAAGUACUGCAUAUUAUCAUUAAC